UANACGCUNANAAAGAGCUUGCUCUUUUGGAAGAGUUGCNAACGGGUGAGUAACGCGUAGGUAACCUGCCUGGUAGCGGGGGAUAACUAUUGGAAANGAUAGCUAAUACCGCAUAAUANNUUUGAUCGCAUGAUUGAAGUUUGAAAGAUGCAAUUGCAUCNCUACCAGAUGGACCUGCGUUGUAUUAGCUAGUAGGUGAGGUAAAGGCUCACCUAGGCGACGAUACAUAGCCNACCUGAGAGGGUGAACGGCCACACUGGGACUGAGACACGGCCCAGACUCCUACGGGAGGCAGCAGUAGGGAAUCUUCGGCAAUGGGGGCAACCCUGACCGAGCAACGCCGCGUGAGUGAAGAAGGUUUUCGGAUCGUAAAGCUCUGUUGUAAGAGAAGAACGUGUGUGAGAGUGGAAAGUUCACACAGUGACGGUAACUUACCAGAAAGGGACGGCNAACUACGUGCCANCANCCGCGGUAAUACGUAGGUCCCGAGCGUUAUCCGGAUUUAUUGGGCGUAAAGCGAGCGCAGGCGGUUGGAUAAGUCUGAAGUUAAAGGCUGUGGCUUAACCAUAGUAUGCUUUGGAAACUGUUCAACUUGAGUGCANAAGGGGAGAGUGGAAUUCCAUGUGUAGCGGUGGAAUGCGUANAUAUAUGGAGGAACACCGGUGGCGAAAGCGGCUCUCUGGUCUGUAACUGACNCUGANGCUCGAAAGCGUGGGUAGCGAACAGGAUUAGAUACCCUGGUAGUCCACGCCGUAAACGAUGAGUNNNAGGUGUUANGCCCUAUCCGGGGCUUAGUGCCGCANCUA
rnacentral:rRNA from 1 species